rnacentral:rRNA from 1 species
GACGUCUACGAGUUUGAUCAUGGCUCAGAUUGAACGCUGGCGGAAUGCUUUACACAUGCAAGUCGAGCGGCAGCGCGGGGCAACCUGGCGGCGAGCGGCGAACGGGUGAGUAAUGCAUCGGAACGUACCCAGUCGUGGGGGACAACUGUCCGAAAGGACAGCUAAUACCGCAUACGUCCUGAGGGAGGAAAGCGGGGGAGUCGCAAGACCUCGCGCGAUUGGAGCGGCCGAUGCCGGAUUAGCUAGUUGGUAGGGUAAAGGCCUACCAAGGCGACGAUCCGUAGCUGGUCUGAGAGGACGACCAGCCACACUGGAACUGAGACACGGUCCAGACUCCUACGGGAGGCAGCAGUGGGGGAAUUUUGGACAAUGGGGGCGAACCCUGAUCCAGCCAUUCCGCGUGAGUGAAGAAGGCCCUCGGGUUGUAAAGCUCUUUCGGCAGGAACGAAACGGUGAGGGCUAAUACCCUUUACUAAUGACGGUACCUGAAGAAGAAGCACCGGCUAACUACGUG